rnacentral:piRNA from 1 species
UGUGGAGAACACAGUGACCACCCCUAGGAGC